CCCAAGAUAUCUGACACUGUCCCUCUUGGCGAUGACAUGUGAUCCAAUCAUCACGUCUCUGCCUACUUCGCUCGGCUCGGCGCUGAACUUGCACUUCAAGUAUUCAGUCUUAGAUCUACUUAUUUUGAAACCUUAGACUCGAGAGUCUGUCUCCAUACCUCUAACAUCUCAAUAACACCGGACCUCGUCUCGUCUAUCAAGACUAUGUCAUCAGCAAAUAGCAUACACCA
rnacentral:lncRNA from 1 species